rnacentral:rRNA from 1 species
UUCAUGGAGAGUUUGAUCCUGGCUCAGGACGAACGCUGGCGGCGUGCCUAAUACAUGCAAGUCGAGCGGACAGAUGGGAGCUUGCUCCCUGAUGUUAGCGGCGGACGGGUGAGUAACACGUGGGUAACCUGCCUGUAAGACUGGGAUAACUCCGGGAAACCGGGGCUAAUACCGGAUGCUU